GACGAACGCUGGCGGCGUGCUUAACACAUGCAAGUCGAACGGAAAGGCCCUGCUUUUGUGGGGUGCUCGAGUGGCGAACGGGUGAGUAACACGUGAGUAACCUGCCCUUGACUUUGGGAUAACUUCAGGAAACUGGGGCUCAUACCGGAUAGGAGCUCCUGCUGCAUGGUGGGGGUUGGUAAGUUUCGGCGGUUGGGGAUGGACUCGCGGCUUAUCAGCUUGUUGGUGGGGUAGUGGAUUACCAAGGCUUUGAAAGGUAGCCUGCCUGGGAGGGUGACCGGCCACGUUGGGACUGGGAUGCGGCCCAGACUCCUACGGGAGGCAGCAGUGGGGAAUAUUGCACUAUGGGCGGAAGCCUGAUCCAGCAACGCCGCGUGCGGGAUGACAGCCUGCGGGUUGUGAUCCGCUUUCGCCUGUGACGAAGUGUGAGUGACGGUAAUGGGUAAAGAAGCACCGGCUAACUACGUG
rnacentral:rRNA from 1 species